rnacentral:rRNA from 1 species
GACCUCGCCCUCGAGAUGGGGGAUAGCCAUUAGAAAUAGUGGAUAAUACCGAAUACGCUCAUGACCCUGGUGGGGAUAUGAGGAAAACAGGCUACGGCCUGGCUCGAGGAGUGGGCCCGCGUCCCAUUAGCUAGUUGGUGAGGUAACGGCCCACCAAGGCGACGAUGGGUAUCCGGCCUGAGAGGGUGUACGGACACAUUGGGACUGAGAUACCGGACCCAAACUCCUACGGGAGGCAGCAGCUAAGAAUAUUCCGCAAUGGACGAAAGUCUGACGGAGCGACGCCGCGUGGAUGAAAAGAAGGCCGGAAGGUUGUAAAAUCCUUUUGCUGAUGAAGAAUAAGUGUGGUAGGGAAUGACCGCAUGAUGACAUUAGUCGGUGAAUAAGCCCCGGCUAACUACGUGCCAGCCGCGGC